UACGUAGGGUCCGAGCGUUGUCCGGAAUUACGUGGGCGUAAAGAGCUCGUAGGUGGUUUGUCGCGUUGUUCGUGAAAACUCACAGCUCAACUGUGGGCGUGCGGGCGAUACGGGCAGACUAGAGUACUGCAGGGGAGACUGGAAUUCCUGGUGUAGCGGUGGAAUGCGCAGAUAUCAGGAGGAACACCGGUGGCGAAGGCGGGUCUCUGGGCAGUAACUGACGCUGAGGAGCGAAAGCGUGGGGAGCGAACAGG
rnacentral:rRNA from 1 species